GACGAACGCUGGCGGCGUGCUUAACACAUGCCAGUCGAACGGAAAGGCCCUGCUUUUGUGGGGUGCUCGAGUGGCGAACGGGUGAGUAACACGUGAGUAACCUGCCCUUGACUUUGGGAUAACUUCAGGAAACUGGGGCUAAUACCGGAUAGGGGCUCCUGCUGCAUGGUGGGGGUUGGAAAGUUUCGGCGGUUGGGGAUGGACUCGCGGCUUAUCAGCUUGUUGGUGGGGUAGUGGCUUACCAAGGCUUUGACGGGUAGCCGGCCUGAGAGGGUGACCGGCCACAUUGGGACUGAGAUACGGCCCAGACUCCUACGGGAGGCAGCAGUGAGGAAUAUUGCACAAUGGGCGGAAGCCUGAUGCAGCAACGCCGCGUGCGGGAUGACGGCCUUCGGGUUGUAAACCGCUUUCGCCUGUGACGAAGCGUGAGUGACGGUAAUGGGUAAAGAAGCACCGGCUAACUACGUGCCAGCAGCCGCGGUGAUACGUAGGGUGCGAGCGUUGUCCGGAUUUAUUGGGCGUAAAGGGCUCGUAGGUGGUUGAUCGCGUCGGAAGUGUAAUCUUGGGGCUUAACCCUGAGCGUGCUUUCGAUACGGGUUGACUUGAGGAAGGUAGGGGAGAAUGGAAUUCCUGGUGGAGCGGUGGAAUGCGCAGAUAUCAGGGGGAACACCAGUGGCGAAGGCGGUUCUCUGGGCCUUUCCUGACGCUGAGGAGCGAAAGCGUGGGGAGCGAACAGGCUUAGAUACCCUGGUAGUCCACGCUGUAAACGGUGGGUACUAGGUGUGGGGUCCAUUCCACGGGUUCCGUGCCGUAGCUAACGCUUUAAGUACCCCGCCUGGGGAGUACGGCCGCAAGGCUAAAACUCAAAGGAAUUGACGGGGCCCCGCACAAGCGGCGGAGCAUGCGGAUUAAUUCGAUGCAACGCGUAGAACCUUACCUGGGUUUGACAUGGAUCGGGAGUGCUCAGAGAUGGGUGUGCCUCUUUUGGGGUCGGUUCACAGGUGGUGCAUGCCUGUCGUCAGCUCGUGUCGUGAGAUGUUGGGUUAAGUCCCGCAACGAGCGCAACCCUUGUUCACUGUUGCCAGCACGUUAUGGUGGGGACUCAGUGGAGACCGCCGGGGUCAACUCGGAGGAAGGUGGGGAUGACGUCAAGUCAUCAUGCCCCUUAUGUCCAGGGCUUCACGCAUGCUACAAUGGCUGGUACAGAGAGUGGCGAGCCUGUGAGGGUGAGCGAAUCUCGGAAAGCCGGUCUCAGUUCGGAUUGGGGUCUGCAACUCGACCUCAUGAAGUCGGAGUCGCUAGUAAUCGCAGAUCAGCAACGCUGCGGUGAAUACGUUCCCGGGGCU
rnacentral:rRNA from 1 species